rnacentral:rRNA from 1 species
GUGGGGAAUCUUCCGCAAUGGACGAAAGUCUGACGGAGCAACGCCGCGUGAGUGAAGAAGGUUUUCGGAUCGUAAAGCUCUUUCGUUAGGGACGAACGUGCUCUUUGUGAAUAAUGAGGAGUAAUGACGGUACCUAAAUAAGAAGCCACGGCUAACUACGUGCCAGCAGCCGCGGUAAUACGUAGGUGGCAAGCGUUGUCCGGAAUUAUUGGGCGUAAAGCGCGCGCAGGCGGGAUAUCAAGUCUGUCUUAAAAGUGCGAGGCUCAACCUCGUGAGGGGACAGAAACUGGUAUUCUUGAGUGUCGGAGAGGAAAGUGGAAUUCCAAGUGUAGCGGUGAAAUGCGUAGAGAUUUGGAAGAACACCAGUGGCGAAGGCGACUUUCUGGACGAUGUCUGACGCUGAGGCGCGAAAGUGUGGGGAGCAAACAGGAUUAGAAACCCUGGUUAGUCC